AUUAAAAGAAAAAGGGGUGAAAAGAACAAAGUUUUAUCCAUCUUUGUUCAUCAUAGCUGAAAGUUAGAGAAGAGAAAGGAAAGGAGAAAGCUCUUGAGUAUUCGGUCAUUAGGAGGAGGAAAAUUGAAGGCGGUUCGUGUGUGGAUCUCGUCAGCAUAUCGUCGCAAACAAGUGUGUAACUGACACCCUCUUAUAGACUAGAUUGGCAAAAGCCGAAAUGCCGAAAAGUCAGUAUUUUGGGAAUUUGCGAGUGUGCGAAUGCUCGAAAGAUAGUUGGGUUUGUAUAUUUGGUAAUCUAAAGUAAUAAACUGCAGUACGCGCGAUUUCGUACAUUUUGAUAAUUUGGGCUUAAUGGGCCAAAGAUCGGGUUCAUGGGCCAACGGGCCCAAUUCAGUAA